rnacentral:lncRNA from 1 species
UCUCGGUGAAUAUGUCGACUUCUUGCGCUCCUAAUAUAUGCGGUUUUACUUAUGCCUGGUUUCAUAAGAGGUGUGUGAAAAUUGACUUUAUCUUUCGUCUCAUCAUGUUAGUUAUAAUUAUGGUGACCAGAUAUUCUUGGCUCUUGACAAUAAGUGACUUUGAGCUUGUUAAAUUAAACUGCUCUCUGUAGGUAAUAGUUGUAACUGGAGUAAUCAGUGUAAAGUUUGUGGUGUGCACCUCUUUUUUUCAUAAGAGCCUAUAUUUUAUAUAUAUGAAGAGUUACUGUAACAACCAUGGAACCUGAGUAUUCAGUUUGUGUACUUCCAGGGUCUACAUCUACGCCUGCUUCUCUCACCUCAUUGAACCAUUUUUUCUCUGGGCCUUCUUUAUUUAUUUGACAGAACUUUCUUUAGCAAUACACCAAUUCAGAAUAUUCGUAUAUUCUUUUCUUAGUCAUUCUCAAUUUUGCACAACUGUGAUUCUCAAGUGGUAUACUUCUAUCAGGAUUCAUCUAUGAAGCCUGAGAAAGUACGCGUUGCUGGGGGUCUCCAUGGUUGCUGCCGACCGGAUGUCACCACCGCUGCCGAUGUCGUCGUCGCCCUAACCACUGUCCCGCAACACAGGUUUGUAUGCCUCGCCCUCACCCACUGCUUCUCUCGCCUAAUUGAUUCCUUUUUCGUUGCGAUCAAGGUUCAUUAGUGUUGCACUUUCCCCUGUUACUUAGUGCUUAGGAGAAGGAGAGGCAUGGUCGUAGCCACAUAAACAGAUGAGGAAGAGGUGAGCUGCCGCUAGCCCCCAGUGGCGUGCUGCAUCUCCCAUCGGUGCUUGCGACAGGAGAACCACACCCCUGGCCUCUUCAUCUACGCCUCGGUUGUUGUCUCCCCAAGCAACGCCAAAGGCAACAAUAGCAAGGUGAGGCCCCUACCUGGAAAAUAAGGUUCAGGAGGUGUUUAUCUUGUGAUUCAGUAACUUUUCAUUUAGUGAAUGCUUUCAUAUAAUCCAACCGUUCCGACUUUAUGACAUAUUCAAGCUACACGUUUGGUUAGCCCUUUUAAUCGAGCACUGUUUGUUUUGAGUUUAAUGGGCAAUUGUAGUACUUCAUGCCAUUGUUAAAGCUCUGCACUUUAAUCACACUAAAUAUAGUUGACUAUUUUACCAGUGGUAUGUAAAUGAGACAAUCUGGAAGUUGCAGCCAUAAAUAAAAACCUAUGUUCUCUCGUUUCCUAUAUGUAUCGCUAUGUAGGUAAUUGCUUAUCUGGUACGACGAUAUCAGUCUAUGCAUGUAGCAGUCCCUUUCCCUGUCUAUGAUAUGGUUGCUCAUCUAUUAUUAUAGGAUUGAGCAAUUGUUUGAAGAGCUUCUUAAUAUUCUAAUUAAUUCAAGACGUGUGAUCGAGCUACGCAUGUGUUUAGAUCGUCUCAUCAUAUACACACGAGUAUUUCCGGACGGAGGGAGUAGUAAUUAGUACGCUUGAGGCCUUCACAUGUAAAACCAAACAAUGCAUACAUGGUUAUCUCCUUUAUUCUCUAAAUAUCUUACAAAGCCAACUAAAAUGAAAUUCAAAUAAUUCAUUUGUAAAACACAAAGUGCUGGAAGAUAUACUUAGGUUACCUAUAAUGGAGAAAACAUCGAACAUGCAUAUUAAGUCUUUACUGGGAUCAUGCCACUUCACAUCAAAAUUUAUAGGAAUAGUGUAAGUGAAGAAAGUGGGGAAAGUUGUAGCAUGAAUCUAAGACUUUGUUCAAACAAUGAAGAAAGUGGGGAAAGUUGUAGCAUGAAUCUAGGACUUAAUUCAAAGAGGAAAUAAUAUGGUGAAAGUAGUAGAGACCGGAUACCCAACCGAUCUCUUGGUUGAAAAGGGAAAUAAUGGGAAAACGCAGUACAAACUGGAUAAGGAACAGAUCUAUUAUUGGUUUAAAAAAGGAUAGAAAGUGGCGGCUGGUGUACAAGUCAACAGAGUAUGUCCAGGAUUAGAUUUGCUGCCAUCACAUAGUAAAAGGUGUUCAGGAUUAGAUUUGCUGCCUUCACAUAGUAAAAGGUCUUAGGAUUAGAUUUGCUGCCCUCACGUAGUAAAAGGUCUCAGGAUUAGAUUUGCUGCCCUCACAUAGUAAAAGGUCUUCAGGAUUAGAUUUGCUGCCCUCACAUAGUAAAAGGUCUCCACGAUUAGAUUUGCUGCCCUCAUAGAGUAAAAGGUCUCUAGAUUAGAUUUGCUGCCGUCACAUAGUACAAGGUCUCCAGGAUUAUGUUUCCUGCCGUCACAUAGCAUGAACAAACUCGGCAUCACCACUUUAUGCCUCCUUGUAGGUACAUUGUGCUGAUGCGUCCACUGUCGCAUGUCCUUAUACCAACCUUUUGUUGUUGUUAAUGUAAGGGCGCAUGUAAAAUGAAGCAAUCACAUUGUUACCUUAGGGACAUGUCGAACCAAUGUUAUUGUUAAUCUAAUGCCUCCAGUGAUAAGGUGCAAUUAAACUGUGUUACAAAUGGCACUUCUGCUGUUUUCCCCAGUAUAAUAAGUAAGUUGCUCCUUUACGCUACUGAGUGUCUUGGUGUCCCCACGGUCCCAUGCCCUUAAACCAACUCUUUAGCUGCUGUUGAUUUACUGUGUCUAGUAAACAAGCAAUUUCACCAUUACAGUAAUCCCAUAUUUGAGGAAUCUCAUUGUUGAUCAUAAUGCUUCUGGUAACAUGAAGCAUUGCUAACGUUUUAAAUUUUUUACUGUCCUUGCGUGAUUGCCAUGAACAUAAUUAAGAUGCUUCUUUUCAUUUUGUAUAUGUUUAGUAUAUUCUUAUUGACCAGCAACUGUUUACUUUUUAUCUUUUUGUGUAGAUAGGGAUAUCCAUUUCACCUUGUUGCUAUUGUGACCUUUUGGUGAACUGCAGAAAACAUUUUUUUUGGAAUGAGUGUCUUGUGCAGUUCAACUAAAAUGUCACGUGGGCAACAUCUCUCAAUUUUGGUGGAACUGCACAAAAUGGUGAUUGGAGUUUCCAAAAUCUCCGUCAAGUUCUGCUGGUAAUCUCGUGCAACAUUUUAUUAGCCUUUGCAAGAUGGAGCCGUCACUGUCACCACAAUGGCACUUUAUUUUAGUGGAACUGCACAAAAGGAUAAGAAAAUUAUAGUUGCACCUUACAUGAGCCGGACAGCCAACCUUAAUGUUCCUCAAUUUUAGUGCAACUACUAAAGAAGAACCUGCCAGCUCACAAGAGCAAGUACUUCUUGCUAGCUGAAUGAUGCAAUCUUUGCUUCAUUUUAGGUGAACUGCAGAAAAAGGCGCAUGAAUUGAACCAUGGAACUCCAGGCAGACCUCAUCCAAGUAGAGCUGGAGGUUGAGUUCAAGGAGGCCGCUAUUAAAGUGAAAUCAUGCUCUCCUGUCUCCUUGUUUGUGCUGUGCAAACAUG